rnacentral:misc_RNA from 1 species
AAAAAGAGGAGGGGGGGGGGGUGUUUUAUUGUUAUUGUUCCCAAGAACAUGGUUCACUUGGAAAUCUAUUGAAGUUCUAUUUUAAAUUCUGCAUAUUUUCAGAUUUAUGUUCCUAUUUCUGUUUUCUGACGAGAUUACUAUAUUUUCAAAUGGGGAGCAAAAUCGUUGCAUAACGUUAUUGUGUGUUCUCCUGCAUGAUGGCUUUGCUUUUACAUUUUAGUAUUGUCUCUCUGUAUAUUAUUUAUUAUCUUUUCUUUUUUCUUUUGCAUUUCUAAAUUUAUUGUUACUGUUUCAGAGGUAAUUGGAAAAGAAAUACA